UACGGGGGGGGCAAGCGUUGUUCGGAAUUACUGGGCGUAAAGGGCUCGUAGGCGGCCAACUAAGUCAGACGUGAAAUCCCUCGGCUUAACCGAGGAACUGCGUCUGAUACUGGAUGGCUUGAAUUCGGGAGAGGGAUGCGGAAUUCCAGGUGUAGCGGUGAAAUGCGUAGAUAUCUGGAGGAACACCGGUGGCGAAGGCGGCAUCCUGGACCGACAUUGACGCUGAGGAGCGAAAGCCAGGGGAGCAAACGGG
rnacentral:rRNA from 1 species